CUCUUUCAAUUCAAUUCUAUCCAAAUUUCUAUUGCAAUUUUGGUCAUUUCAUAUCUUUUCAAUUUAAUUUCAAGACUUCAUUUAUUAAUCUCGUCCGUCCGUUUAAAUAACUAAAUCCUUGAUCGAAUCCUACCCCUUCAUCUUGCAUCAAAUCAAUGGUCCAUAUUUAAUCUUACCUAUUCUAACCUAAAAAGAGCCUAAUCCUUAAAAAAUGUCAUUCUCUUCUCCCUCCCCUCUCCUUGGCAGCCGCCAGCCCUCCUCUCUCUUUCUUCCCAUUCUUUUCGGCGAAAGCCACCAAUUGCCGGUGGACUCUCUCUCCCUCGCGCCUCCCCCUUUGCUCUCUCUUCUCUUCUCUUCUCUCUUCUCCUCCUCCCUUCUUCUCCGUCUCCUUUCCCCGUCGCUGGCAGCGGUGCUUGGCGAAGGACAGCAACGGCAGCCAGCAGCCCCAGCACCGCCCGUCUCUCCUCUCUUCUCUCUUUCCUUCUCUCCUCUUCUCCGGCGAAUAGUGAGAAACCAGCCCCUCCAGCAGCAAAAAACAAAAGCAGCAGCAAGCUUUAGCGAAGAAAACGACCGCCAGCAACGCUGACAACGAGCAACCAGCAGCAAGAUCGACCUCCGGCGAAGGCAAAGUUCGGAUGGAUCUAUUCAGAUCCGUCUUUGAAAAAAUAUGACUAAUAUAGCGGUGAUGCUUUACUUCAAUGGACGAUGUGAUCCUAGCAACAAAUAUAUUAACUACUUGGCAGAUGGUGUGUUGAUACACAUAGAGUCAAUGUUUGCCACCCUCGUUUCUGUAAUUACUACUCAAUUGUCAAUAGACACAUCAACAAAUAAAGUUGAAAUCAGAUAUAAAAUUGAUGAAAGGUCUCCUCCAAUUCAAAUUCAUAAUGAUAUGGGGUAAAGGUAUAUCUUGAAACUAAAAAGGAACAUCGAGAUAUGACAAGAUACCCUUUAUGUGUCACAACAACUGAACCAGUCAACUUGGAGACUAAUGCUGCACUCAUUCCACUUUUGUGUUCAGACACUUCAGGAGAUAUGAGGGUUAUACACAAUUCAUACUUCUCUAAUACAUUUAAUGGUAUUGAUGAAGCAAUAGGGUUAAUUGGAUUCAGAUCAUGUGAGAAAGUUGAUGAGCUAGAAGAAUUAGCACCAGGCAUCAUUAUUAAUCUCAAUCACUCUUUAUUUGAAAAAGAUCAGGUGUAUAAGAAUAAAUAUGUCCUCACUAGUGCACUAAAAAGACAUUUCAUUCUUAAUCAUUUUCAAUUUAAGAUAAUAAGAUCAAGCGCAAUAAGGUAAGACCUAAAUUCAAGUCACUUUAAAUUAUUAAUUGUGUAUUAAUAUUUUUUCUACAGCUAUUCGAUACAGUGCCUAGGAGAAAGUUGCCUAUUGGAGUUUACGAGCUUCAAGCUUGAACAAAUAUGAAAUGUUCAAGAUUAGAGAAUUCGAAAGCGAACACACUUGUUUUUUGCUAUAUAAUUCAUUAUCGGAAAAGCUAGCAAUUAAGAGUGUUGUUGGGAGUAUUAUUGUGGGUAAAUAUGCUGAACCAGAUGUUAUUUACACACCAAAAGACACACAACGUGACAUGUUAGCUGAAUAUGGUGUGCUACUCACAUAUAUGCAAGCUUGGAGAGCUAAAGAGGCAGCUCUUGAAUUAAUCCGGGGUGAUCCAAUUCAAUCAUAUGCAAAGUUGCCAAGCUACUUUCACAUACUAGAGGCAACUUACCCUGGUUCUCAUAUAAGAUUUCACAAAUCAGAGGAUGACCAUUUUUUAUAUGCGUUUGUAGCUUUGUUCACCUCAAUAAAAGGAAAAAGGAUGGGAAUAUUGUAGACCAAUUGUAGUUAUUUUGUAAUUUUCUUAAAAGGAGCAUACAAAGGGACACUGCUAACCACUAAUACCGUAGAUGCAGCAGGGAGUAUAUUGCCACUUGCAUAUGCUAUUGUCGAUUCAGAGAAUGAUUCAUCUUGGAGGUAGUUUUUUUAGCAAUUCAGAGAUGCUUUCGGUCAAAGACCAUAGAUGUGUAUCGUUUUCGAUAGGCAUGCAGUUAUUAAGGCAGUUUCAACAGUUUAUGAUGAAGUACCUCAUUUUGCAUGUAUGUGGCACUUAAUGCAAAACAUAAUGAAAAAUUUUAGAAGAAGUCAACAAAGGGUCACUGAGUUGUUCUACUCUAUGGCAAAAACAUACACCAUGACAGAAUUUAAUCAAUGUAUGACAAUGGUUGAGAAGAUAGAUAAGAGGAUCAAAGAUUACUUGUUGAACAUUGGAUACAACAAAUGGUCGCGUGUGCAUGCUGAAGUAAACAGAACUUGGAUGAUGACAUCAAAUAUAGCAGAAUCAGUCAAUUCACGAACAAGACAUGCCAAAGUUCUUACAGUCUUGCAACUCUUGGAAUUCAUGAGACAACUUGUACAGAAAUGGAAUAACAAUAACAGAUCAAAGGCGACAAUUUCAGGUUUUCACCUUGGAAAAAGUAUGAAAAUAUAUUCCGGCGCAAUAAAACUGCAUCAGAGAAAUUAAAGAUUGUAGAGACAAAUAAAUAUGUAUAUACCGUACUUGAUGGUAUUACACAAUUCACAGUAUGUCUUCACCAACGUACAUGCACAUGUGGGAGAUUUCAAUUGGAUGAGUUACCAUGUCCACAUGCUUUGGCCGUUUUAACAAUAAAACACACUGGUUAUGAGAAAUAUUGUUCGGCUAACUAUACAAGAAAAUAUUUAUUGUUGACAUAUCAAUUUCAAAUGGAUCUCCUGCCAAAUGAAAGUACAUGGAACACACCA